UAAGACGAACCGUACGAACGUUAUUCGGAAUCACUGGGCUUAAAGGGUGCGUAGGCGGCGCGGAAAGUUGGGUGUGAAAUCCCUCGGCUCAACCGAGGAACUGCGCUCAAAACUACCGUGCUCGAGGGAGACAGAGGUGAGCGGAACUUAGGGUGGAGCGGUGAAAUGCGUUGAUAUCCUAAGGAACACCGGUGGCGAAAGCGGCUCACUGGGUCUCUUCUGACGCUGAGGCACGAAAGCUAGGGUAGCGAACGGGAUUAGAUACCCCGGUAGUCCUAGCUGUAAACGAUGAGCACUGGGUUGGAGGGUCCUCCAUAGCCUUCCAGCCGUAGCGAAAGUGUUAAGUGCUCCGCCUGGGGAGUAUGGUCGCAAGGCUG
rnacentral:rRNA from 1 species